UUCCUGUUUGAUUCCAUAAUGAAUGGCAAGAGCAGCUGGCUAAAAAGGUACUAAAGUGCCUGUGGAUUAUCCCAUAAAAGAAACUGAUGAGUUUUGUUUCUUCCCAAGCCAAACAAUUAUGGAUCAUGGUUAUGUAAAUAACAGAACUGGAUUUACAUACAUUUCAAUUUAACUGCUACAUCAUUUGUUGUUUUGUUUUUGUGGUGUGACUUUUUUUAAAAUUCAGUGCUGCUGUGGGUUCAAAAGGAGGAAGGGAUGUCACUUUUACAGGUUUCUGGCUUGCAUUUCACAGAAGCAAUGCUCACAGGUCUUUGCUCUGCCUUACAGGUGUUCCAGGCUCUAUAUGCUCUAUUUGGAAUGCUGCUCUUUGCUACCGAUCUGACGAGGACAGUAGCUGAGCUUGAAAGUCAACCAACAACCAACAAAAAAGUCACAAAGUCAAAGCUUGAAAGCCAACCAACAAAAAUGCAACGUUCUAUGGACUAUGCUGAGGCAGCACAAAGACUUGUCAUAUCUAUUGCUAUGAUCUUCUUCUUCACUUUGCUAUUAGUUGGUUGAACACACAACAAAGAUGAAUAUUUUGGCAAACAUCAGUUUCAGCAAAUGUCCUAAAGGAAGGUGCAUGACAGCUUGUUCGGGCAUUCUGGCAAGGUGAUUACAGGAUGGAUUUUCAUAUAAUAAACUUCCUAUAGAUGAGAAAGUAUCUUAAUGUUACGGGAUGUAUUUUCAUAUAAUAAUCUCCCUACAGGUGAAAUAUUUAUCUUACGGUAUUGUGUGAAAAAGUAUUAAGGAGGGGAGUGGGCAGCUGAGUGUGGUAUAAUGUAGAAUGUAUAUUUUGCCUUGCUCAUGAGAUAGUCUCACCACAAGGCUUAGGGUCAGACUCAUUAAUUAAUGAGUUAUGUUGCACGUAUUGCCAAAACUGAAAAUGAAAAACUUAUGGGGAAAUGAAAAAAUUCAAGGGGAAAAUGAAAAGCUUAUGGGGACUGCAGAGAAAGGAAGAGGGAAAAUAUUCGAGGGGGUCAUGACUGGUUACUGUGAAUAUCUUUUAAGGGUCAUUAUUUUUACUUUCUGAUGCUAGGUAAGUUGAAAAACUGGCAAAACAGAAAUCUGGAUAAAGUGAGAGAAAGGAAAAGGAAAAGUCAGGAGUGAGAUCACUUUAGGAUUAAUUACUGCAACAUCCUGAACAUGGGCACACAUCUGAAAUGUAUGUAGCAAAUUACAUAAGAAUUUGAGAUUUAACUCUGUAUUAGCAGUAUACAGCUAGUUUUGGAAGACUUUGAGCUAUUGACAAUAUCCCCUAACUUCAGUGCCUACUUCCCUUAAGGCUGAGGCUGUAAGCUGAAACAAAUAUAUCUCACUCCUGUUGUCAC
rnacentral:lncRNA from 1 species